rnacentral:rRNA from 1 species
UGGGGAAUAUUGGACAAUGGGGGCAACCCUGAUCCAGCAAUGCCGCGUGUGUGAAGAAGGUCUUCGGAUUGUAAAGCACUUUCGACGGGGACGAUGAUGACGGUACCCGUAGAAGAAGCCCCGGCUAACUUCGUGCCAGCAGCCGCGGUAAUACGAAGGGGGCUAGCGUUGCUCGGAAUGACUGGGCGUAAAGGGCGUGUAGGCGGUUUACACAGUCAGAUGUGAAAUCCCCGGGCUUAACCUGGAGCUGCAUUUGAUACGUGUAGACUAGAGUGUGAGAGAGGGUUGUGGAAUUCCCAGUGUAGAGGUGAAAUUCGUAGAUAUUGGGAAGAACACCGGUGGCGAAGGCGGCAACCUGGCUCAUGACUGACGCUGAGGCGCGAAAGCGUGGGGAGCAAACAGGAUUAGAUACCCUGGUAGUCCACGCUGUAAACGAUGUGUGCUAGAUGUUGGGUACUUU